AGAACUAAUAACUUGAAAAGUCAAAUGAGGUAGGUAACGCUCCGAAGGGCUUUCCCUAAUACUCCGACGUGCGUGUGUAUAAUAAGAUACAUGGGUACGAAGCUCGGUGAAGUCAGCUUAGGAAACACCCUAACAGUUAGGCUGAGGAAAUGCGAACCAGAGGUGGUCGAGUGUUUCAUGGGCUGGGGGUCUAUAAA
rnacentral:ncRNA from 1 species